UGGGGAAUAUUGCACAAUGGGCGCAAGCCUGAUGCAGCCAUGCCGCGUGUGUGAAGAAGGCCUUCGGGUUGUAAAGCACUUUCAGCGGGGAGGAAGGCGUUAAGGUUAAUAACCUUGGCGAUUGACGUUACCCGCAGAAGAAGCACCGGCUAACUCCGUGCCAGCAGCCGCGGUAAUACGGAGGGUGCAAGCGUUAAUCGGAAUUACUGGGCGUAAAGCGCACGCAGGCGGUCUGUCAAGUCGGAUGUGAAAUCCCCGGGCUCAACCUGGGAACUGCAUUCGAAACUGGCAGGCUAGAGUCUUGUAGAGGGGGGUAGAAUUCCAGGUGUAGCGGUGAAAUGCGUAGAGAUCUGGAGGAAUACAGGUGGCGAAGGCGGCCCCCUGGACAAAGACUGACGCUCAGGUGCGAAAGCGUGGGGAGCAAACAGG
rnacentral:rRNA from 1 species